CUCAGUGAGUAAGCAGCUAUAACAAGUCCAGCCACAGCUGAAAUGGGAGCCUUGAAGCCACCUUGAAAGUAGAGACUGAGAAGAGGAUACACAAGAUGUGACUGUCCUUGGGCAAGAUACAUAGCAUCAUCAAGAUGCAGCCCACAAGGAUAUUUGCUAGACUGCCAAGAGUUUCGCCAUAGCAGAAUCUACUAAAAAUUUUUGGGAAAAGGACAACUUGAAAUUUCAGAUCUUUAUAGGCUACAUUAUUGGGUAUGAAAAUCUUCAGGUGUUCAACACCAACUACUUUUAACAUGUGUUGUCAUUUGAAUAGUUGUGAUCCCUAAAGACUCGUGUGUUUCAAAGUUUGGCCCCAUGGGGAGUGGCGAUAUUAGGAGAUGUACCCUGUGUGAAGAAAUAUGUCAUGGUGGAUGGGCUUCAGUGUUCUAUUGUGCUCAAGCUCUACCCAGUGUCGAAUCCAGUCCCCUUCUGAUACUUGUAGAACUCUUGCCUCCUCCAGCCCCAUGUCUCCCUGCACACCGCCAUACUUUCCACCAUGACAAUAAAGAGCAAAUCCUCUGAAAGUAUAA
rnacentral:lncRNA from 1 species